UUACUUAGUGGCGGACUGGUGAGUAACGCGUGAGGAACCUGCCUUUCAGAGGGGGACAACAGUUGGAAACGACUGCUAAUACCGCAUGACACAUCGAUGGGGCAUCCCGUUGAUGUCAAAGAUUUAUCGCUGAAAGAUGGCCUCGCGUCUGAUUAGAUAGUUGGCGGGGUAACGGCCCACCAAGUCGACGAUCAGUAGCCGGACUGAGAGGUUGACCGGCCACAUUGGGACUGAGAUACGGCCCAGACUCCUACGGGAGGCAGCAGUGGGGAAUAUUGGGCAAUGGACGCAAGUCUGACCCAGCAACGCCGCGUGAAGGAAGAAGGCUUUCGGGUUGUAAACUUCUUUUGUCAGGGAAGAGCAGAAGACGGUACCUGACGAAUAAGCCACGGCUAACUACGUGCCAGCAGCCGCGGUAAUACGUAGGUGGCAAGCGUUGUCCGGAUUUACUGGGUGUAAAGGGCGUGUAGGCGGAGAAGCAAGUCAGAAGUGAAAUCCAUGGGCUUAACCCAUGAACUGCUUUUGAAACUGUUUCCCUUGAGUAUCGGAGAGGCAGGCGGAAUUCCUAGUGUAGCGGUGAAAUGCGUAGAUAUUAGGAGGAACACCAGUGGCGAAGGCGGCCUGCUGGACGACAACUGACGCUGAGGCGCGAAAGCGUGGGGAGCAAACAGGAUUAGAUACCCUGGUAGUCCACGCUGUAAACGAUGAAUACUAGGUGUGCGGGGACUGACCCCCAGCGUGCCGCAGUUAACACAAUAAGUAUUCCACCUGGGGAGUACGAUCGCAAGGUUGAAACUCAAAGGAAUUGACGGGGGCCCGCACAAGCAGUGGAGUAUGUGGUUUAAUUCGAAGCAACGCGAAGAACCUUACCAGGUCUUGACAUCGUGCGCAUAGUAUAGAGAUAUAUGAAGUCCUACGGGACGCACAGACAGGUGGUGCAUGGU
rnacentral:rRNA from 1 species